rnacentral:tRNA from 1 species
AGGUCGUGGUCGAGGGCGUGGACGGUCAGGCCGUUGCGCCCGGUCAUGGUGUCCGCGGCGACCAUCGCGUUGACGAUCGCCUCCUCGGUGGCCUC